rnacentral:rRNA from 1 species
AUUGAACGCUGGCGGCAGGCCUAACACAUGCAAGUCGAGCGGUAGCACAGAGAGCUUGCUCUCGGGUGACGAGCGGCGGACGGGUGAGUAAUGUCUGGGAAACUGCCUGAUGGAGGGGGAUAACUACUGGAAACGGUAGCUAAUACCGCAUAACGUCGCAAGACCAAAGAGGGGGACCUUCGGGCCUCUUGCCAUCCGAUGUGCCCAGAUGGGAUUAGCUAGUAGGUGGGGUAACGGCUCACCUAGGCGACGAUCCCUAGCUGGUCUGAGAGGAUGACCAGCCACACUGGAACUGAGACACGGUCCAGACUCCUACGGGAGUCAGCAGUGGGGAAUAUUGCACAAUGGGCGCAAGCCUGAUGCAGCCAUGCCGCGUGUAUGAAGAAGGCCUUCGGGUUGUAAAGUACUUUCAGCGGGGAGGAAGGUGUUGAGGUUAAUAACCUCAGCAAUUGACGUUACCCGCAGAAGAAGCACCGGCUAACUCCGUGCCAGCAGCCGCGGUAA